rnacentral:rRNA from 1 species
UACGUAGGGGGCAAGCGUUGUCCGGAAUCAUUGGGCGUAAAGAGCGCGUAGGCGGCCCUGUAAGUCCGCUGUGAAAGUCAAGGGCUCAACCCUUGAAUGCCGGUGGAUACUGCAGGGCUAGAGUCCGGAAGAGGCGAGUGGAAUUCCUGGUGUAGCGGUGAAAUGCGCAGAUAUCAGGAGGAACACCGAUGGCGAAGGCAGCUCGCUGGGACGGUACUGACGCUGAGGCGCGAAGGCGUGGGGAGCGAACAGG